GGCGCAUGCGCGGGCUAUACUGCAGUCGACGAACUCUGGUAUUGAUUGGUGCUUGCAUCAUGAUUUACAUUUGAGUGAGUGGCGAACUGGUGAGUAACACGUGGGAAACCUGCCCAGAAGCGGGGGAUAACACCUGGAAACAGAUGCUAAUACCGCAUAACAACUUGGACCGCAUGGUCCGAGCUUGAAAGAUGGCUUCGGCUAUCACUUUUGGAUGGUCCCGCGGCGUAUUAGCUAGAUGGUGGGGUAACGGCUCACCAUGGCAAUGAUACGUAGCCGACCUGAGAGGGUAAUCGGCCACAUUGGGACUGAGACACGGCCCAAACUCCUACGGGAGGCAGCAGUAGGGAAUCUUCCACAAUGGACGAAAGUCUGAUGGAGCAACGCCGCGUGAGUGAAGAAGGGUUUCGGCUCGUAAAACUCUGUUGUUAAAGAAGAACAUAUCUGAGAGUAACUGUUCAGGUAUUGACGGUAUUUAACCAGAAAGCCACGGCUAACUACGUGCCAGCAGCCGCGGUAAUACGUAGGUGGCAAGCGUUGUCCGGAUUUAUUGGGCGUAAAGCGAGCGCAGGCGGUUUUUUAAGUCUGAUGUGAAAGCCUUCGGCUCAACCGAAGAAGUGCAUCGGAAACUGGGAAACUUGAGUGCAGAAGAGGACAGUGGAACUCCAUGUGUAGCGGUGAAAUGCGUAGAUAUAUGGAAGAACACCAGUGGCGAAGGCGGCUGUCUGGUCUGUAACUGACGCUGAGGCUCGAAAGUAUGGGUAGCAAACAGGAUUAGAUACCCUGGUAGUCCAUACCGUAAACGAUGAAUGCUAAGUGUUGGAGGGUUUCCGCCCUUCAGUGCUGCAGCUAACGCAUUAAGCAUUCCGCCUGGGGAGUACGGCCGCAAGGCUGAAACUCAAAGGAAUUGACGGGGGCCCGCACAAGCGGUGGAGCAUGUGGUUUAAUUCGAAGCUACGCGAAGAACCUUACCAGGUCUUGACAUACUAUGCAAAUCUAAGAGAUUAGACGUUCCCUUCGGGGACAUGGAUACAGGUGGUGCAUGGUUGUCGUCAGCUCGUGUCGUGAGAUGUUGGGUUAAGUCCCGCAACGAGCGCAACCCUUAUUAUCAGUUGCCAGCAUUAAGUUGGGCACUCUGGUGAGACUGCCGGUGACAAACCGGAGGAAGGUGGGGAUGACGUCAAAUCAUCAUGCCCCUUAUGACCUGGGCUACACACGUGCUACAAUGGAUGGUACAACGAGUUGCGAACUCGCGAGAGUAAGCUAAUCUCUUAAAGCCAUUCUCAGUUCGGAUUGUAGGCUGCAACUCGCCUACAUGAAGUCGGAAUCGCUAGUAAUCGCGGAUCAGCAUGCCGCGGUGAAUACGUUCCCGGGCCUUGUACACACCGCCCGUCACACCAUGAGAGUUUGUAACACCCAAAGUCGGUGGGGUAACCUUUUAGGAACCAGCCGCCUAAGGUGCAACAG
rnacentral:rRNA from 1 species